ACUUGCAGUGACAAACUUGCCCGGGCACUUUUCGUGGAGGAGAGUGAGGAGCCCAUCAGUGGUGCUUCAACCUCGGGGAGCUAAGAGAAGAUUCAGUGUUCAGGUCAACGGUCAUGUGCUCAACUCUUUUUCCUGUUUUCUCUUUGUCUUGGGCUAGAAAUAAAACAGGU